rnacentral:rRNA from 1 species
CUACGGGUCGCUCCAGUGGGGAAUUUUGCGCAAUGGGCGAAAGCCUGACGCAGCAAUACCGCGUGAGUGAAGAAGGCCUUUGGGUCGUAAAGCUCUUUUCUGGGGGAAGAUAGUGACGGUACCCCAGGAAUAAGCACCGGCUAACUCCGUGCCAGCAGCCGCGGUAAUACGGAGGGUGCAAGCGUUGUUCGGAUUUACUGGGCGUAAAGGGCACGUAGGCGGCACAGCAAGUUAAGGGUGAAAUCCCGGGGCUCAACUCCGGAACUGCUCUUAAAACUGCUGAGCUAGAGAUGGUCAGAGGCGGGUAGAAUUCCUGGUGUAGAGGUGAAAUUCGUAGAUAUCAGGAGGAAUACCGGUGGCGAAGGCGGCCCGCUGGGGCCAUUCUGACGCUAAGGUGCGAAAGCGUGGGGAGCGAACGGGAUUAGAUACCCCAGUAGUC